UACAGAGGGUGCAAGCGUUGUUCGGAAUUAUUGGGCGUAAAGGGCGCGUAGGCGGUGCGGUAAGUCUGCAGUGAAAUCUCUGGGCUCAACUCAGAGUCUGCUGUGGAAACUGCCGUGCUUGAGUGUGGGAGAGGUGAGUGGAAUUCCCGGUAUAGCGGUGAAAUGCGUAGAUAUCGGGAGGAACACCUGUGGCGAAAGCGGCUCACUGGACCACAACUGACGCUGAGGCGCGAAAGCUAGGGGAGCAAACAAG
rnacentral:rRNA from 1 species